rnacentral:rRNA from 1 species
GUUAUAGGGUCAAGCGAACAAGUGCAUGUGUGGAUGCCUUGGCGAUCACAGGCGAUGAAGGACGCGGUAGCCUGCGAAAAGCUACGGGGAGCUGGCAAACGAGCUUUGAUCCGUAGAUGUCCGAAUGGGGAAACCCACUCCUUUUGGAGUAUCCAUAGCUGAAUACAUAGGCUAUGUGAAGCGAACGCGGUGAACUGAAACAUCUAAGUAACCGCAGGAAAAGAAAUCAACCGAGAUUCCCAAAGUAGUGGCGAGCGAAAUGGGAAGAGCCUGUACUCUUUAUUUGUAUUGUUAGUCGAACGCUCUGGAAAGUGCGGCCAUAGCAGGUGAUAGCCCUGUAGACGAAAACAGUAUGAAAGAACUAGGUGUACGACAAGUAGGGCGGGACACGUGAAAUCCUGUCUGAAGAUGGGGGGACCAUCCUCCAAGGCUAAAUACUCGUGAUCGACCGAUAGUGAACCAGUACCGUGAGGGAAAGGCGAAAAGAACCCCGGGAGGGAGUGAAAUAGAUCCUGAAACCGCAUGCAUACAAACAGUCGGAGCCUCGUAAGGGGUGACGGCGUACCUUUUGUAUAAUGGGUCAGCGACUUACGUUCAGUAGCAAGCUUAACCGAAUAGGGCAGGCGUAGCGAAAGCGAGUCCGAAUAGGGCGUUCAGUUGCUGGGCGUAGACCCGAAACCAAGUGAUCUAUCCAUGGCCAGGAUGAAGGUGCGGUAACACGUACUGGAGGUCCGAACCCACUAACGUUGAAAAGUUAGGGGAUGAGCUGUGGAUAGGGGUGAAAGGCUAAACAAACUUGGAAAUAGCUGGUUCUCUCCGAAAACUAUUUAGGUAGUGCCUCGUGUCUCACCUUCGGGGGUAGAGCACUGUCAUGGUUGGGGGGUCCAUUGCGGAUUACCCCGCCAUAGCAAACUCCGAAUACCGAAGAGUGCAAUCACGGGAGACAGACAUCGGGUGCUAACGUCCGGUGUCAAGAGGGAAACAACCCAGACCGCCAGCUAAGGUCCCCAAAUAUAGCUAAGUGGGAAACGAAGUGGGAGACCGCCAGCUAAGGUCCCCAAAUAUAGCUAAGUGGGAAACGAAGUGGGAAGGCUAAAACAGUCAGGAGGUUGGCUUAGAAGCAGCCACCCUUUAAAGAAAGCGUAAUAGCUCACUGAUCGAGUCGUCCUGCGCGGAAGAUGUAACGGGGCUAAGCUAUAUACCGAAGCUGCGGAUGCAUAUUUAUAUGCAUGGUAGGAGAGCGUUCCGUAAGCCUGCGAAGGUGCAUUGUAAAGUGUGCUGGAGGUAUCGGAAGUGCGAAUGCUGACAUGAGUAGCGAUAAAGGGGGUGAAAGGCCCCCUCGCCGUAAGCCCAAGGUUUCCUACGCAACGUUCAUCGGCGUAGGGUGAGUCGGCCCCUAAGGCGAGGCAGAAAUGCGUAGCUGAUGGGAAGCAGGUCAAUAUUCCUGCACCAUUGUUAAAUGCGAUGGGGGGACGGAUCGCGGAAGGUUGUCCGGGUGUUGGAAGUCCCGGUCGCUGCGUUGGAGAAGGCACUUAGGCAAAUCCGGGUGCAGAAUUCAAGGGCGUGGCGCGAGCUUCUUAGGAAGCGAAGCAAUUGGAAGUGGUUCCAAGAAAAGCCUCUAAGCUUCAGUUUAACAGUGACCGUACCGCAAACCGACACAGGUGGGCGAGAUGAGUAUUCUAAGGCGCUUGAGAGAACUCGGGAGAAGGAACUCGGCAAAUUGGUACCGUAACUUCGGGAUAAGGUACGCCCCUGUAGCUUGACUGGCCUGCGCCAGAAGGGUGAAGGGGUUGCAAUAAACUGGUGGCUGCGACUGUUUAAUAAAAACACAGCACUCUGCAAACACGAAAGUGGACGUAUAGGGUGUGACGCCUGCCCGGUGCCGGAAGAUUAAAUGAUGGGGUGCAAGCUCUUGAUUGAAGUCCCGGUAAACGGCGGCCGUAACUAUAACGGUCCUAAGGUAGCGAAAUUCCUUGUCGGGUAAGUUCCGACCUGCACGAAUGGCGUAACGAUGGCCACACUGUCUCCUCCCGAGACUCAGCGAAGUUGAAGUGUUUGUGAUGAUGCAAUCUCCCCGCGGCUAGACGGAAAGACCCCAUGAACCUUUACUGUAGCUUUGCAUUGGACUUUGAACCGAUCUGUGUAGGAUAGGUGGGAGGCUAUGAAACCGGAACGCUAGUUUCGGUGGAGCCGUCCUUGAAAUACCACCCUGGUUUGUUUGAGGUUCUAACCUUGGCCCGUGAUCCGGGUCGGGGACAGUGCAUGGUAGGCAGUUUGACUGGGGCGGUCUCCUCCCAAAGUGUAACGGAGGAGUACGAAGGUACGCUAGGUACGGUCGGAAAUCGUGCUGAUAGUGCAAUGGCAUAAGCGUGCUUAACUGCGAGACCGACAAGUCGAGCAGGUGCGAAAGCAGGUCAUAGUGAUCCGGUGGUUCUGUAUGGAAGGGCCAUCGCUCAACGGAUAAAAGGUACUCUGGGGAUAACAGGCUGAUACCGCCCAAGAGUUCAUAUCGACGGCGGUGGUUUGGCACCUCGAUGUCGGCUCAUCGCAUCCUGGGGCUGUAGCAGGUCCCAAGGGUAUGGCUGUUCGCCAUUUAAAGAGGUACGUGAGCUGGGUUUAAAACGUCGUGAGACAGUUUGGUCCCUAUCUGCCGUGGGCGUUGGAUAUUUGAAGGGGGCUGCUCCUAGUACGAGAGGACCGGAGUGGACGAACCUCUGGUGUACCGGUUGUCACGCCAGUGGCAUCGCCGGGUAGCUAUGUUCGGAAGAGAUAACCGCUGAAAGCAUCUAAGCGGGAACUCGCCUUAAGAUGAGAUAUCCCUGGAGGCUUGACCUCCUUGAAGGGUCGUUCGAGACCAGGACGUUGAUAGGUCAGGUGUGUAAGCGCAGUAAUGCGUUCAGCUAACUGAUACUAAUUGCCCGUAAGGCUUGAUCCUAUAACCAGUCUGCG